UUAACACAUGCAAGUCGAACGAUGAAGCCCUUCGGGGUGGAUUAGUGGCGAACGGGUGAGUAACACGUGGGCAAUCUGCCCUUCACUCUGGGACAAGCCCUGGAAACGGGGUCUAAUACCGGAUAACACUCCUGCCUGCAUGGGUGGGGGUUAAAAGCUCCGGCGGUGAAGGAUGAGCCCGCGGCCUAUCAGCUUGUUGGUGAGGUAGUGGCUCACCAAGGCGACGACGGGUAGCCGGCCUGAGAGGGCGACCGGCCACACUGGGACUGAGACACGGCCCAGACUCCUACGGGAGGCAGCAGUGGGGAAUAUUGCACAAUGGGCGAAAGCCUGAUGCAGCGACGCCGCGUGAGGGAUGACGGCCUUCGGGUUGUAAACCUCUUUCAGCAGGGAAGAAGCGAAAGUGACGGUACCUGCAGAAGAAGCGCCGGCUAACUACGUGCCAGCAGCCGCGGUAAUACGUAGGGCGCAAGCGUUGUCCGGAAUUAUUGGGCGUAAAGAGCUCGUAGGCGGCUUGUCACGUCGAUUGUGAAAGCUCGGGGCUUAACCCCGAGUCUGCAGUCGAUACGGGCUAGCUAGAGUGUGGUAGGGGAGAUCGGAAUUCCUGGUGUAGCGGUGAAAUGCGCAGAUAUCAGGAGGAACACCGGUGGCGAAGGCGGAUCUCUGGG
rnacentral:rRNA from 1 species